UCCUGGUGCUGCUGAAAAUGUCCUGGAAUCCCACCUUACUGGAGGUUGCUUUCCAUGCUUAGUCAGAAGUUCUGUGUAACCUUAGUUGAAAUAAUCCACAUGUAAAUCUUUAUCUACAGGAGGAAGCUCAAAAUAACCAAAAGAGAGAGCAGCUGGAACACUUGUGGAAGGACAUGGGCAGUGUGUGUGUGCAGGGCAGCACACUGGCAGGACCUGAUGCUUCUGCAAUGGGUCCCUCUGAGCUCAUACUAACACGAGGAACUCUCGAUGAAGAGCAAGAAGAGAGGGAGAGUGACACUGAUGACAUUGACCAUGAAGUGACUGAGGAGAGUCAUGAAGAACCAGCCUUCAGAAACUUUAUGCAGGACAUGCGGAUGAAAUGCCAGAGGAGAAGCAACGCGAAUGAAUGAGACCUGCAGAAACAGAAGUAGCUGUUGGUCCGAUGAGUUAAAGGUCUUGCAGCCAACUGACUGCACAUUUGGCCAUCUGCCACUGUGGCUUCCUGAAGCUGAAGGAACCAGAAAGCAGUUUCUUUUCCUGCAACUUCUUCAGAUCUCUCUGUUGAGAGCUUAGAUUUUGAGCUCUGACAGCGUUAGCAUCCAGAGUACCCACUGGUCCCCAGAGGC